CUGAUUAAAUAUAAUAAUUAUAUUAUUGUGGGUUGAAAACCCUAUAUGCUCACCAGGCUCCCAAGCCUGACCCACUCAGUUUUCUUUUCAUUACAGGUAAUGGCACAAGGGUAUAAGUUGGUGGACUUGACGAGAGAUUUUGGGAUUAUAGAUCAGUAGUUAUAAAUAACUAUUGUAAGAUCUAUUUUAUAUUGUUUAUGCUUUUGGUCUGUAACGAACAUGACAUCCCGAGUUUUUAUUAUUUAAUGAAAAUACAUUCUUUUCGAGAAAUGUUUUGAUAAAUGGUUAUCAUAUUUUAUUUUGGGAACAAAUUCCGCAACCGUUUUCUUUAAACGAUCACUCUGAUUUUAAAAACAAAGCAUAAACAAAUCGGUCUUUUCUGGCCGUGAAAUUGGGGAUGUCACAGUUGGUAUCAGAGCAUUAGUUUAAGCGAACUAGGAAUAUGGAUUUAUUUCUAGACUUAAACUUAGAAUGCUAAGCAAUGAUUGUGAGUUGAGUGUGUCCAUUAUAUUUUAGGUAGUACACCUAAAUUGACACAGGCACUAUUUUAUUUUAGGAAAAUUGCCUAAAAUGCUAUUAUGUGCUAAUUGUUAUAUGUUUGCCAUAUAUGAUGUUAAUUGUUCGGAUCUAUGGUCUGUUGCCGACCGGAUCUGGAAACCUUAUGUGUUUAGGAUUCUAAGCGUGCGUCUACGAUAUUAGAACUAGCAUGUAAACGUUUCGGAGUGAUAAGGAUGAUUUGAAUAUCUAUCGUGACUAAGGAUCUAAUUUCACCUUAUUCGGUGUAUAGAUCAAAAAUGGUGAGAACGAGGAGUGGAGUUGGAAAUGCUGAUGAAAACAGGAAUCAAAUACCAGUAAUUGAACAAAUACCUGUUGUAGCAGCAGCGCCUGAACCAAUGACAAUGGCCGGAGUUCAAGUGAUGAUCCAGGCAAUGUUGAAUAAUCAGAUGGAAGAAACCAGACGUCUGAUUAGGCAGAAUCGCGAGGAAUUGUCAAUUCAAGUUGAAGAGCCCGAAGUAAAUGGAGGGCAGUCUGAAGGAGGAAACUAUAGUGGGACCGUUGGUCAAGCCAACCCACCAAUAGUUCGCCAAAACAACCAGGAUAGAGGAAAUGAUGGACGUGGAUGCAAGUACAAGGAUUUCAUGGCAUCCAAACCACCAUGUCUUUCUGGGAGCCCGACACCGGUGCAAGUCAUGGACUGGAUCUCCGAAAUGGAGACAAUGUUUGAAAGUUGCGAGUGUAGCAACAGACAGAAGACCGCUCUUGCAAUCCCUCUGUUAAAAUCUGGAGUAUUGAGCUGGUGGAAGUUACUGGCUGGUUCGAUGCCCAAGGGGGAAGCUAGCAAGAUGUCUUGGGAAGAGUUCGUGGUGCAACUGAAAAUGCAAUACUGCUCUGAGCAAGAUCUUCUGGAAAUCAACAAUGAGUUCCAGAAUCUGAAGAAAGGAAAAUUGAGCGUUACUGAAUACGCUACGAGCUUUACGGAGAAGAUGAAGCUUAUUCCAUACCUAAUUCCAACUGAACUUUCCAAGGUCAACAAGUUUGCCAAUGGAUUACCAGCGGACUUUGGUCCGAUAGUCAAGCAAGCAACCACUCUGAAAGCCGCCAUCUGGGCAGCCAAGAAUGUUGAGACCCAAAUAAAAGAAAAGGGUCUGGAAAGAGCUGAAGUUGGAGAGAAAAGGAAGCGUGAAGGAUCUUCAAUAAUCGACAAAGAAAGCAAAUUCUCGAAAUCUGGGGGAAGAGAUGAAGCUAAGUGGUGUGAGAAGUGUAAGAAGAAACACUUCGGGAAAUGUAGCGAGGAGAUGACUUGUUACAAAUGUGGGAAGACAGGGCACUACGCCAAUAAGUGCGCACCCCUCAAGAAGGUGUGCUAUAGGUGUAACGAAGAAGGGCAUAUUUCUAAAGAAUGCCCACAGAAAAACACACCUCCACAGCCAAGGGCAUUCAACAUGUUCCUCAACGAAGCAGAAAAGGAUGGGAGGAUUAAAAGAUGAAGACUUCAUAUUAAUAUAUAAAGUCUGUAUCAGGAAGCAUAGCCUGUUAGAGGCAUAGUAUAGGGUGAACUUGAACUUUUGUGUAAUAGUUUCAAGAAUUAAUAUAAACCCUGGUUUUGUUAUCUGAUGUGUUGAAUGAUUAUAUGAUUUAUGUAUGGUGACUUGGUUAACUGCGAGACAAUGCUUGGGACGAGUAUGAGUAGGUGUGAAUGGUAGUAGAGAUCUAUACUACCGGAAGCACAGGACUCACGCAUGGAUCAGGGAAAGUCACAAGGUUACCACGAAGCUAGUAAUUGAUUUCGUUUUAUUCAAGUUUGUCAUUACCCUUGUUUCGGUAAUGACUAGUAGGAUGACGGUUAUUCCGACCCUAGUGAUCAUAUUAAAUUGAAUCCGACCACGAUGAGAGGUCAUCGGGACACGACCCAUCGGUUAGUUACAAUAGAUAAAUGAAUGUAUUUAUGCUUAGAAGAAGAAGGAGUCCACAAUAAGGAUUUAUUUUGUAACUUAAAGAUGUCGAUCGAAAGUCCAACGUAGUACGAAGAGCAGAUGCAGGAUUGAGCAUCAAGGUUAUUACUUAGGAUGGAGAGAUAACUUAUGGAGUCAGUAUACGAAUCCUAUUUCGUUGAUGAUUCCGGGACGUAAUCAUCCUAAGGGGGAGAUAAUUGUAACGCCCGUAGAUCAGGGCUAGUCAAUUUAGAGACAAUAAGCGUCAAAAAUGACUUUUUGAUAGAAGAUUAUUUAGGAUGAAUAAUCCUAACUAAGUUGUAGUAUAUGUUACAAGGUUUCCGUGCAUAUAAAGAACGCCAAAAUCCGAGUUAUAACGAAGAAGUUAUGACUUGUUGAAGUUUCGCGACAGAACCGGCACAACGCUGAAUGACGUAAAAAGUGAAUUUACGUUAGAGUGAUAUUUAGCCUUAGCGAUCUAAACGAGAAUCGAAGAUCUCGUUGUUAGUAGCGAAACGACGAAAAGUUAGGCAAGAACGGACGUCAAACGAAGAAGUUAUGAAUUUAUAACGAAAUUUUCUGUCCCGACCUAUUAAAAAUAAAUAAUAAAAAUAAAAGUCAAAAUUAGCCGACGGAGUCUAAACGAAAGUCGUAGAGCGUAGUCUCACCUACGCGUGGAUAUAAAGAACGUCGAAAACGGAGUUCGUAUGAAGAAGAUAUGAAUUUUCGAAGUUUAUUAAAUAAUUAAUAAUUAAAUUUAAUUAUUAAAUCCCGGUAUUAUCCGAAGACGAGUCAUCGGACUCAUCCGAAGUACGCCCCGCGUACAGCGAAGCAUGACGACCUUCGCACUCGAGUUCUUCAGAUGACGCAUGCAGUGACGUUUCGGACGCGUACGCCUGUACGCCCCGCGUACUCCGAGGCUCCAGCCUCCUAUAAAUAUGAUGCGAGGGCAGCCGGCUUAUUUGGUCUUUUUCUCUCUUCUCUCUCCCGUUUUGCAUCGUUUUUCGUGCCCGAAGUUUCCCGAAGCCCCAGUCUCAAUCCCGAGUCCCGAAGCAAGAUCCGAAGCCCCGAGAAUCCCGAAGAGCGUGAUUCCCGAGCCGAAGCUCUGCCCGCGAGAAGUUCAAUUUUUGUGAAGAUCUUCCAGAUCUGCGGAGAUAUACUACUUCUGCAAGUCGUAGUGCUGUCCGAUCAUCUUCUGAUCAAGUGAGUGUAUACUACCUUUCAUAAACACGAUAAUAAUACAAGUAUGGUUUGAGUGUAUUAAGUAUAUUGUUGUUUAUAUGCGUGAGUAUGUAGUUACUUUCUUAUAACACAUAAAUAUGAAGUACUUGCUAUGAAAUACGUGCUACGUGUUUAUAUAUUAUUUGUCUAUUUGAGAUGGGCGUGGAAUUGAUGUUUUAUACAAGUGUUAAAUGAUUUAAACUGUGUAAGUAUUUAUAUCUACGAAAAUGUUGGGUAGAACUUGGGUAGAUGGGAUAGUUGGUGACUAUGGAGUUAGCGCCUAUUGUAUAAACCUUGGCGACGAUGUGACUUCGUGCCUAUUUGAUGAACCUUGGCGACUAUGGAGUUAGCGCUUGUUGAGUAAACCUUGGCGACUAUGGAGUUAGCGCUUGUUGAGUAAACCUUGGCGACUAUGGAGUUAGCGCUUGUUGAGUAAACCUUGGCGACUAUGGAGUUAGCGCUUGUUGAGUAAACCUUGGCGACUAUGGAGUUAGCGCUUGUUAAGUGAACCUUGGUGACUAUGGAGUUAGCGCCUGAUAACUAUGGUUUUAGUACUUGAUAAAUAAACUUUGGCAGCAAUGGAAUUCGUGCCAAUUCCUUACGAAUAAAUGAAUGAAGGAUAGUUGGUUCUUAGGGUAAAACCUUAAGAAGGUAAUGGGGAUGGGUAAUUGGGUUGAUUGUUUGCUGAUUAAAUAUAAUAAUUAUAUUAUUGUGGGUUGAAAAUCCUAUAUGCUCACCAGGCUCCCAAGCCUGACCCACUCAGUUUUCUUUUCAUUACAGGUAAUGGCACAAGGGUAUAAGUUGGCAGACUUGACGAGAGAUUUUGGAUUAUAGAUCAGUAGUUAUAAAUAACUAUUGUAAGGUCUAUUUUAUAUUGUUUAUGCUUUUG
rnacentral:lncRNA from 1 species